GUGAAAUGCGUAGAUNUAUGGAGGAACACCAGUGGCGAAAGCGGCUCUCUGGUCUGUCACUGACGCUGAGGCUCGAAAGCGUGGGUAGCGAACAGGAUUAGAUACCCUGGUAGUNCACGCCGUAAACGAUGAGUGCUAGGUGUUAGGCCCUUUCCGGGGCUUAGUGCCGGAGCUAACGCAAUAAGCACUCCGCCUGGGGAGUACGACCGCAAGGUUGAAACUCAAAGGAAUUGACGGGGGCCCGCACAAGCGGNGGAGCAUGUGGUUUAAUUCGAAGCAACGCGAAGAACCUUACCAGGUCUUGACAUCCCGAUGCUAUUCUUAGAGAUAGGAAGUUACUUCGGUACAUCGGAGACAGGUGGUGCAUGGUUGUCGUCAGCUCGUGUCGUGAGAUGUUGGGUUAAGUCCCGCAACGAGCGCAACCCUUAUUGUUAGUUGCCAUCAUUAAGUUGGGCACUCUAGCGAGACUGCCGGUAAUAAACCGGAGGAAGGUGGGGAUGACGUCAAAUCAUCAUGCCCCUUAUAACCUGGGCUACACACGUGCUACAAUGGUCGGUACAACGAGUUGCGAGCCGGUGACGGCAAGCUAAUCUCUGAAAGCCGAUCUCAGUUCGGAUUGGAGGCUGCAACUCGCCUCCAUGAAGUCGGAAUCGCUAGUAAUCGCGGAUCAGCACGCCGCGGUGAAUACGUUCCCGGGCCUUGUACACACCGCCCGUCACACCACGAGAGUUUGUAACACCCGAAGUCGGUGAGGUAACCUUUUAGGGGCCAGCCGCCUAAGGUGGGANGGAUG
rnacentral:rRNA from 1 species